AAAGGCGCCAGUCGGGGAAGGGUGAGAACCUUCGAUUAAGGUUCGACUCUCGCGAAAGCGAGAGAACGUUGCUGAAAGCAACGGCCCGAAGGGUGAGGAGCGAAGCGACGAAUAAUCCUUCCCCCACCACCA
rnacentral:sRNA from 1 species